UACGGAGGGUGCAAGCGUUAAUCGGAAUUACUGGGCGUAAAGCGCACGUAGGCGGUUUUUUAAGUCGGAUGUGAAAGCCCCGGGCUCAACCUGGGAACUGCAUCCGAUACUGGAAGACUAGAAUGCGGGAGAGGGAGGUAGAAUUCCAUGUGUAGCAGUGAAAUGCGUAGAUAUAUGGAGGAAUACCAGUGGCGAAGGCGGCCUCCUGGCUCGACAUUGACGCUGAGGUGCGAAAGCGUGGGGAGCAAACGGG
rnacentral:rRNA from 1 species